CCUACGGGAGGCAGCAGUGAGGAAUAUUGGUCAAUGGACGCAAGUCUGAACCAGCCAUGCCGCGUGCAGGAAGACGGCUCUAUGAGUUGUAAACUGCUUUUGUACGAGGGUAAACGCUGAUACGUGUAUCUGUCUGCAAGUAUCGUACGAAUAAGGAUCGGCUAACUCCGUGCCAGCAGCCGCGGGAAUCCGGAGGAUUCAAGCGUUAUCCGGAUUUAUUGGGUUUAAGGGGUGCGUCGGCGGUCGGAUAAGUUAGAGGUGAAAUCCCGAGGCUCAACUUCGGAAUUGCCUCUGAUACUGGUCGGCUAGAGAGUAGUUGCGGUAGGCAGAAUGUAUGGUGUAGCGGUGAAAUGCUUAGAGAUCAUACAGAACACCGAUUGCGAAGGCAGCUUACCAAGCUACGUCUGACGUUGAGGCACGAAAGCGUGGGGAGCAAACAGGAUUAGAUACCCGAGUAGUC
rnacentral:rRNA from 1 species